rnacentral:rRNA from 1 species
UGGGGAAUAUUGGACAAUGGGCGAAAGCCUGAUCCAGCCAUGCCGCGUGGAUGAAGAAGGCCCUAGGGUUGUAAAGUCCUUUCGGUGGUGAAGAUAAUGACGGUACCCAAAGAAGAAGCUCCGGCUAACUUCGUGCCAGCAGCCGCGGUAAUACGAAGGGGGCUAGCGUUGUUCGGAUUUACUGGGCGUAAAGGGCGCGUAGGCGGCAUGACAAGUCACUUGUGAAAUCUCUGGGCUUAACCCAGAACGGCCAAGUGAUACUGUCGCGCUAGAGUGCAGAAGGGGCAAUCGGAAUUCUUGGUGUAGCGGUGAAAUGCGUAGAUAUCAAGAGGAACACCUGAGGCGAAGGCGGGUUGCUAGGCUGACACUGACGCUGAGGCGCGAAAGCUAGGGUAGCAAACGGGAUUAGAUACCCCCGUAGUCCCUGAGCGGGCUGGCAAGGCGCAU